rnacentral:rRNA from 1 species
UACGUAGGGUGCAAGCGUUCAUCGGAAUUACUGGGCGUAAAGCGUGCGCAGGCGGUGAUGUAAGACAGAUGUGAAAUCCCCGGGCUCAACCUGGGAACUGCAUUUGUGACUGCAUCGCUGGAGUGCGGCAGAGGGGGAUGGAAUUCCGCGUGUAGCAGUGAAAUGCGUAGAUAUGCGGAGGAACACCGAUGGCGAAGGCAAUCCCCUGGGCCUGCACUGACGCUCAUGCACGAAAGCGUGGGGAGCAAACAGG